UACGGGGGGUGCGAGCGUUGUCCGGAAUCACUGGGCGUAAAGAGCGUGUAGGCGGCCUGACAGGUCUGCUGUGAAAACUCGAGGCUCAACCUCGAGAUGUCGGCGGAAACCGUCUGGCUAGAGUCCGGAAGAGGAGAGUGGAAUUCCUGGUGUAGCGGUGAAAUGCGCAGAUAUCAGGAAGAACACCUAUGGCGAAGGCAGCUCUCUGGGACGGUACUGACGCUGAGACGCGAAAGCGUGGGGAGCGAACAGG
rnacentral:rRNA from 1 species